rnacentral:rRNA from 1 species
GAUGAACGCUGGCGGCGUGCUUAACACAUGCAAGUCGAACGGAAAGGCUCCUGUUUGCAGUGGUAUUCGAGUGGCGAACGGGUGAGUAACACGUGGGUGAUCUGCCUUGCACUUCGGGACAAGCGUGGGAAACUGGGUCUAAUACCGGAUAGGACGAGGGUUUGGAUGCGGUUGUGGAAAGUUGUUUCGGUGUGGGAUGAGCACGGGGCCUAUCAGCUUGUUGGUGGGGUAAUGGUCUACGAAGGCGUAGACGGGUAGCCGGCCUGAGAGGGUGUACGGGUACAGUGGGACUGGGGUGCGGCCCAGGCGGCAACGGGGGGCAGGGGUGGGAAAUAUAGCAAAAUGGGCGCAGGCCUGAUGCAGCGACGCCGGGUGGGAGAUGACGUCCUGCGGGUAGUAAACUCCUUUCGCUAGGAACGAAGCGCAAGGGACGGUACAUGAAGAAGAAGCACCGGCUAACUACGU